UAUUCCCAUUCCGUCAGUAAGAAAAUAGAACCUUGCAAUUUUUUAUCGGUCACUUGUCGAGCAGCUUUUGUUUAAACAUUUAGUGUCAUCACGGAAAUUAGAGCGCGAUAUGGACCUCGAUCCUCUCGAGGAAAAUGAUGAAGGGGAUUUUGAGGGAUGCCAGAUAAAUCUAAGCGAGUUGCGAGUCGAUUAUCGAGAGGUGUCCGACGAAGUCCAACAAUUGCGAUUGGAAAGUGCGAAGUCAAAUGUUGAUGUUGAGAUUGAAAAUGAACCAGAUUUUUCGUGGGAGGAAAAUUCUAAAUCCGAAAGUCAAGAUUUUGAGAACGAAACUAGAGAAGAUGGACGAGUUGAAAAGGCGAUUUCGAAAAUGGAAGAUCUCGAGGGGGCCAUUCAAGAAUUGGACAAGGAAGUUCAGGGGGCGACGAACGAAAGGUUGCAGUGCCAGAUUCAGAAUCGAGUACACUUGAAAAAACUGUUGGAUUCGAAUCCACCGGAAGCUGGAAAACUGGCUGCAAAUACCGCACAAUUUUUCAAGUUAUGUUCGGUGAACGUGGACUUGUCUUUAGAACCUGAUAAUUCGAUCUCACAAAACGUAAAUAAAUCUGUGAAAAAAGAGCGUCAAUUAGAAAGGCCGAAGACGGUGAAUAAAGAGAAUGCAAAGAAACUCGAGAAAAAACCUGUCAAGGAUAAAAAUAUGAAUUUGAUAAAUAGCAGAGGUCAAGUAAGAGAUUUUAAAAAGGCUCUCUUGAUAAAUUCUCACUUGAUAAAUAUUUCACGUUGUUACUUAGAUUCUGGCUAAAAGAAGCAACAAAAAGAGCGUCGACUACGAAAAUGAAAGUACUAAUCCCUUCGUCUUCGAUAAGGAAACCAGAGAAUUGUUGCAAGAGUUGGACCGAAGAACUGCGGUGAGUGAUUUAAUUUUCUCCCAUUGAAUUUAUAAAUAACUAGUAUUUUACAUUAAUUUAAUAACAUAAUUGUACCAUUGUUGAAGCUACUCAAUUCUCAUUUUCUAAGUCGCUCGAUGGAGAGCGAUAAAAAAGACGAUAAAGAAGAGAUUUCUAAAAAUGUCAUUGCAUCGGGAACAUUAAAGACUUCAAUUUCCGGAACAACAAUACGGGAAUUAGUGGAGCAAUAUCGUGAAGAAGUGGCGAGUGUCUUCGAAAACGAAUCGUUAAAUUCGACAGAGAACUCCAGCCCUUUCUUGAAAGUUCCAGAAGGCAUAAUGCCUAAGUAGCAAUAAUUGCUACUUAGAAAUUUGCCAACGACGGAAUUGCCACGAAAUAAUAUUUAGAUCAUUCGAUUUCACAAAUUCAAAGUAAGAUAACUGCGAAUUGAAGGCGUUUUUUCAAGACGCUAUUUUUGAUUUCACGUACCACUGUAGUCAUCGCAUCAUAAAAAUUAAAUGAGGAUAAUGCUAAUAUGUAA
rnacentral:misc_RNA from 1 species